rnacentral:miRNA from 1 species
UUAACGGCCGGAUAUAUUUGUUGC